UCGAACGAACCUUGAGAACUUUGAAACUUCGGUUGAUGAGUUCUCGCUGGUUAGUGGCAAACGGGUGAGUAACACAUGGAUAAUCUGCCUCGAAGUCGGGAAUAGCUCGUCGAAAGACGGGAUAAUGCUCGAUAGUCUCAAUUUAUCGCAAGGUAUUUUGGGUAAAGCUCCGGUGCUUCGAGAAGAGUCUGUGUCCUAUCAGCUAGUUGGUGAGGUAAUAGCUCACCAAGGCUAAGACGGGUAGCUGGCGUGAGAGCGCGGUCAGCCACAAUGGAACUGAGACACGGUCCAUACUUCUACGGAAGGCAGCAAUUAGGAAUCUUGCGCAAUGGGGGCAACCCUGACGCAGCGACACCGCGUGGAGGAUGAAGGUCUAAGGAUUGUAAACUCCUUUUAUAUGGGAAUAAUAAAUGAAGGUACCAUAUGAAUAAGCACCUGCUAACUACGUGCCAGAAGCAUCGGUGAUGCGUAGGGUGCGAACGUUAUCCGGAUUUAUUGGGCGUAUAGAGAUGCGUAGGCGUUUUAGUAAGUCUUGUGUUAAAGACCUCAGCUUAACUGAGGAAAAGCAUUCGAAACUACUAGAAUUGAGAGAGGGAGG
rnacentral:rRNA from 1 species